rnacentral:lncRNA from 1 species
UUACAGCAUCUGUGCUGUUACGUGACACUUUCUAAGGCUUCCAUUGACUCUCUAAAGCGUUCAGAAAACGGAAUGACGCGUCUCCUGUCUCUGGGCAAAGUACAGGAGCAGAGUUUGUAAGUGGACUGCCUGGGGACAGUGAGACUGGAGAUGCGCGGUCACGAGACCUCACCAUUUUUUUAUUUUCCUCUUUGAAUGAAUACAACGUUGUCCGGUUGGAAUAUUAUCGCUAUUUUACGAGAAAAAUAGCAUAAAAAUGAAUUUUUAACAGCGUUUGACAUGCUUCUAAGUACGGUAAUGGAAUAUUUCGAAAAAAUUUGGUCACGAAAUGCGCUCGCACGUUACCCUUCGGAUAGUGACCUGAACGCACGAACAAAACGGAUGUAUUGGGAUAUAACUAUGGAUUAUUUGGAACCAAAACAAUAUUUGUUGUUGAAGUAGAAGUCCUGGGAGUGCAUUCUGACGAAGAACAGCAAAGCGCUCAGGCUGGUGACAUUCCGAAGCAGAGAGAGGAGUACGAAAGGAUGAAACAAGAUCUCCAACAUAAGGUCCAGGAGGUGGAGGAAGAGCUGGCUAUACAGAACCAGGCUUCGUAUGGAGCUGGAGACAACGCGUAGUGGCACGUACAUCACUCAGGUCUCUAAGGAGACAGUUGUCAAGGACACAGAGCUGCUGGCCCUUCAGGAGAGAGAGAGCAAACUACGGACCGAACUGGAUCGGGGCAGGGGGGAGAUGGAGAGGUACAAGCAGCAGCUAUGUGUGGGUGUGGUGUGAGAGAAGGUUCUGGAGCAGAGGAGAAUCUAGAGACGCAGUGAAGACAACGAGGCUGAACACUAACUGCACAGUGAGGGGUUAAUACCGGGACUGACACAGGCCAGAGACCAGGCUAGUGCGGAGCUGAGAGAGAAGGAGAUAGAACUACAGGACAUGGUUACGGCACAAUGUUACCAUGGAGAGAGACCAGGCCCUGGGUCGGCCACUCAGAGAACAGUUGAAAGACCAGCUAAAACACAGGGGAGGG